GACGAACCGUCCAAACGUUAUUCGGUAUCACUGGGCUUAAAGAGUUCGUAGGCGGCCCGACAGGUGAGGUGUGAAAUCCCUCGGCUCAACCGAGGAAUUGCGCUUCAAACCGUCAGGCUUGAGGGAGAUAGAGGUGAGCGGAACAGAUGGUGGAGCGGUGAAAUGCGUUGAUAUCAUCUGGAACACCGGUGGCGAAAGCGGCUCUCUGGUCCGAUACUGACGCUGAGGUGCGAAAGCGUGGGGAGCAAACAGG
rnacentral:rRNA from 1 species